UUGUGUGCUAGAGACAUUAUUCUCUUCUUAUAAGCAAUGCUAUAGAGAGUUAUGUGUCGUCUUCAACAUAUAUUUAUCUAAUGAUUCUGUUCAGAUUUAUCGUCUGCUUCUAUAUCUAUCUUCUUUUUAUCUGGUAUAUAUGAAAUGACAUAAAAAUGAUGUCAUAUGAUUUGAUCACUAUUUAACCGAAUGUAUAGUAUAAAUAACAUUUAUAUAAACUUUAGAGGUUAAAAGUGUUCAAUUAUCCUUAUUAUCUAAGAUAAUUUUCAUACUAUACAAAUUCGUAAUGAGGAUUUUAAUUUUAUCAUUGAAAAAGAAUCAAAGAAGACUUGCCUUAUGGAAAAUAAAUCACCUUAACAAACCUGACUAUCUCACUCUAGAUAUGUCAUCUUAAAGUUCCUAAUAACAUUUUAUGGCAUAUUAGUAAUUCCAUUCCCACCAACAUCAUUAGGUUCACAUGUGGUGUCAAUGUUCCUUCAACUUGUAUUAGAUGUAACCUCACACAUGAAACAAUUAUGUAUUGUCUUAGGGACUAUAGUGACUUCAACUUUUUUUUUGCUUGAAGUGGAUUUCAACAAAAAAACUAAUUCUUUCAAGAUUUAGAUGUAGGAGAGUGGGUGAAACACAAUUAUGAUAAGGAUACCAACAUGUUCUUGCCUACUCUUUGGUGGGUGUGGAGAAACAUAAUUUGUUUUUCAUGGGGCAAGAGAGGAAUGAUAUUAAUUUUCGAAAUUUUCAGCAAUUUUAUAAAUAUGUGCUUCCAAUAUCAUGUAGGAAACUAAUAGAUAUCCAAAAAACGAGCAAAAAAAAUCCGUCCGAGUACAUUAACGUUUAUAAUUUUAAAACGGGUAGCGGGUAGCGAUUACUCAUAUUCAUAUUGUCAAACACGAGCCAAACAUCAAAUCAGAUGAUGUCUUGUAUUAGGUUUAAUCAAUUUAAAUGAUUAAACCAUCAGAUCAGACUAAUCGAUAUCAUAUAUAAUUAAUAAUUAAUAUAUAACUAUAUAUAAAUGAAAAAUUUUAUAUAAUAAAUGAACAUGUAUAACUACGUUGAAAUAACACAUAUCCAUAUUUUUUGGACCAGAGUAAAUCAAAACAAAACAUUAGAGUAAUGUCAUGUCCCAAUUUUUUGCCGCACUAUUUUCUUAAAGUCACCACUAUAGAAAACAUAAAAAAAUCAUUUAGCCCUAUUAAAAUGGGCUUUGGAUUCUUGAUAUUGAGAUUCAGGAGUCAGUUACGGAGUAGAGAAUGUAUUAGAUCUUAUCCAUCCAUUUUAAACGGUACCCCUCGUUAAAUUGUAUAGCUUAUAUUAUACUUUAGACUUAUUUAAUUAUUUAAUUAAUUAUUAAAAGGUCAUUUUUUUAUUGUUGUGUCUAACAAGGUGUAUUCCUAUUUGAGAAUCAAAGCUAUGUAGUGAUGGUUGGUUGAAUGUUUUAAUUAGAUAAAGAAACAACAUAACGCGACCGUCCAAAAGAUGGGCUGAGGGAAAGAUAACAUUUGAUAUGAUUAGCAAAUGUUAUUUUUUUGUUGAAAUUAUUAAUCUUAACAUUAAUUUAUUUGCGAAAAUGUGUUAUGUAUUACUAAUUGUGGUUAACUAUGAUUUAAAAUGGUAUUAUUGUUGACUUCAAUGAUUAAUUGAUUGAAAAUAAGUGUCAUAACGCAAUUGUUGUAAGAUGAUUUGAGGAAAAUAAGCCAUUACUGACGAUCGUCCCUAUUUUUGAUUAAUCUCUAAAAUUUAUUUCAUUAUAAUAAGUGAUGUUACGAUGUGUUUCAAAACAACUAACUAUAUUGCUUGUCAUUUUUUAUUUUAGUAAUAAAUUCUGAUUAUCUUUAAUUAUUAGCAUAAAAAGGGUUUGCUAAUGAGUUGCUAAGAAAAAUGUUAUCUUCACUUUUAUUAUUUUAUUUCUAAAAUAUUAGUAUCAUUAUUUGUUAUUAUUUUUAUUGAAAUUAUGUAAAAUAUUAUUAAAAAUUAUUGUUUGCAAAGUUUAUACAUUGUUUAUUAAAUAAUUAACGUUUAUUAUUAAAAAAAAAUAAUAAAGAAAAAAGGAAAAACAAAGAAAAAUACUAAAAUUUGCAAGGGAAAUGAUUCAGUGUGGACAGUAGCAUUGAGGUUUGCAUAGAUGUGCUGACGUGUCGAAGUUAGAUUAGUCAAAAGAAAGGGAAGUGCAGUUUAACAAUGAACUCACCCGCAUGGGAUCCCAAUCUGUCAUGGAGAUGAGGAUCUGCUGGGGCAAGGUGCAGGUGGAUGGGGCGGGCAAGUCACGACGUGAUUGGUCUCACUCGUGAUCAACGGUUUUUCCUGCAUCGGAGACAGAUCCAAUGGUGAGACGAACAGAAGUACAUGGCUUUUGUUGUGCUUGUCCAUACUUGAUUACAUUAUGUGCCUUCUACAUUGUUCCCGAGACUUGCUUUUCAGAUUUGCUUUUUUU
rnacentral:lncRNA from 1 species